GCGGCGGCAAGCGGAAACUGGCCAACUGGGGUAGGCGCGCGCGCGAGAGAGAGGGACGAUCUAGACGGAGCUGGGCUGCGAGCCCGGCCGCCGCGCUCGGUGGGCCGGAGGAGGAGAGGCAGGGCAGCUCGAGGAGAGAGACUGGUGCGCGUCGAUCUGCCCGGUGGCGGCUCGCGUGCCACUCCAAAGAACCGCCGCUGCCCUUCCUCUACUCGCUCGCCUUCAACGAAAACGGCUGAGAGAGAGGUGAGAUCUACUUAUGGCUUGAGACCUGCGGUAGACCACUCGGGUCUAGACACCCGUGGUCGACCUAGACUCAAAAACCCGUGUAUAGGAGGACUCGAGGGGGAGACGAGGGAACCAGCCUGAGAAGAAGGUGGAAGUCGCGUCGAGUGAGGUCCGUCCUCUAUCUCUUAUGUUACAACUCGGCUAAUGUUGUGUGUUCACCCCACUGUAGCGGCAAGAGCAAGCUCUACAAUUUUGUCUAGUGAUUAUUAAAAAGCCUCCUCGUGUAUUAACCAGCACCACGCAUACCUCACCAAAUGUUCCCUCAUAACCUGUUACCCUUUCUCUAACGACACUUCUUCGAAUUUAUGUACGGAGGUCUUGUACUGUCGUUAUUUGUUAAACUCUUACUCACAUGUUUGGAAUACCCCCAGGUUGUAGUUUUAUAGCACGCCAAUCAACCGAUGACAGUACUUUGUGCAGCACUUAUACACCUUGUGCCACCUUUUAUGCAAACCCGACUCCACCUACUUGCUCAAGAGACGAAACUUAUGAACGUCCCACCUUCGGAACUGUUUGUACAGAGACUGCUUGGUACGUUUGAACUAACCCUGUACACGAUGUUUUAUUAAUUCCCUCAGAGACUUCCAAAUUUAGUGGAAGUAUUCCUGAGGUAAAAGGUAAAACUGAACUUCGGACCUUUAUAUAACGACCUAUUGUUGUACUACGGCUUUUAACUGCUAAAACCAAAUAGUUCUAAGAAAGGAAGUCGUCUUUGGACGUGGUGUCGCUGCUUAAAACCUUGUAACCCCAUGUAUGGUGGUCUUGUGUAUUAGCCUGUGGUUUAGAGUGGCUUUAUACUACAUAAGUCAAACCCACAAUAUUAGCAUUAUUAUUACCGUCCUAAGUCCCCGAUGAUACUUAUAUUUCUAUGGCGAAGGAAACUUAAGUAGUUCGAACAUACACUUUACACCGUUUUUUCCCAUGUACGUUGCUGCACCAGUGUGUAUAGUGUUCUUCAAUUCUGUACGUAGCUUUAUCGCAAUUCUACAUAAUUCGUACUAGCUCUCCUUUCCGGAUGAUAUUCGGUUCAACAACUACAUGAAUCAUCCUAACUACAACUCUUCAACAGUGAAUUCACGCUCUGGUGAUUAAAUGUUUCGUGCCCCCGGAACCGGAUGUUACUUAUGUGCUGAAGGAGUAGAAGCUACCCUCAAGUACCACCAGGGUGAUGCCAACUUAAGUGUGGACCACUCCACCCUCUCCUACUAUCUAGCUACGUACUUUCACUGUGCCAACUCGGGUACUAAAUGCUUGUGCUCGGAUAGUACUCCAGCCUUCUUUCCGAAGUAUGAGGUCAGUGGUACCCAUGAUACCUAUGACAACCCCAAUAAUCACCGAAGUUCCUCACACUAUUAGAAAAAGUCACCCGAUCUAGAUGGUAAAGGAGGGUCACCUCACCAUGUGUUCUCGUCUCCGAAGUACUCCUUAACAAAGCUAACCCCUUACCGGAUGUUACGGAAUCCCUAUGAGAAGGGCGGUACAUACUAGAGUAACUAGCUCGUCUCACCUUCUAGGUGUUAGGAGCACACCGUCUCGAGGAAAGUUGUGAGUUUCUACGUCACAUACUACGGCUACUGGAAGAACUACUCAAGUCUACCAUGUACAACUUCCAUUUUCACCUGCCUUUACCUUCGGUUAGAGGAAAGUACCUGAAGAAGUUAUUACAACAAUUUCCUUCGAAAUAGUUUCACCAACGAUACGCCCUUUCCGACCUAUUAUAAAGGUAAGUGGAAGCAUCAUACCCCAAUGUACUUCAGUGUUGUGCCAAACUGUUUAGUCAGUCCGGUCUCUGAUCGAGAAAGGGUUUACUUUGUUUUUAGAAACCAGCACUGUACCUCGAUUUCGUAUAUUAACUUAACGAAACACGUGGUUAUUUAUCAUCACUACGAGUAGGGUUUGCGGUCUUUCCUUUAUGACGUCUUGUAGUCGUUCUUUGGUUUAACCAUUACUUAGUUCUUAUAGUCUAGAAGGACAAAAUGGGUAUCAACCUUAACCCCCACAACCUUUCUGGUGAGACCGAGUUGUAUAUACAUCAGUAUUUGUUCACCUCAGAGUAAAACUGUAUUAUUAAACCCAAACGCAGAGUCUACUGAAACUGCACUUCUCCAAUUGAUUUCUCCAGUGUCAGAACAGGACUUUUUAUACGUUGUUGACUUUUAAACUUAAACGAAGUCUUCUUGAAAAGACUCUAACGUUCUUGAUUUUUCAAUAACUAACAAGACCUACUAUACACCCUACUACAAAACUUCCUUUUACCCGUCACGACCUUGUCCAAAACACGUGGAAAUUUCUUACAUGAUGGCCCUUCAUACUACAACCAGUGAUGAUCUUCAGGUGUCCAACGACUGUCUCACCCGUGCUACCUAGGGUAAUGUAACCUUCCAAAUUUCCUACUACAAAAAACCUUAAAAAAGUUUAAUACACAAAAACUUAGACCCUCAAGGUUAUUAUUAUUAAACCUUUCGUAACCAUCUUCCUAUCAAGGAUUCAACUUCCCAAGAGGAAAUCGGCGGUUUUGAGAACCUGCUUAUAAUUCUUACUUGGAAGUUCAUCAUGUAACCUUACUACAUGAUCUCUCACUUAACACCUUCAACUCGGUCCUUCUCUGACUUUAGAACGGUCGGGAAGCCAACUCGAUGUACAUAAAUGGUAAAGUAAACUUCUCCACGAAGAGUAAAACACGUCACAUAGGGUUUCUAAUGUUUAAAGCCUUCCUGGUAAAUCGACUUUAAACCCACCGUCUUCCGAAACAACUUGGAGCACCACUAUGAGGUGAAGUUCUAUAACCUACACUUAUGAAGUUACUGGAAAAUUUAGCCAGGAAGAAAGUUCUUCAUGUUCCACCUAUGAAUUAAGUACUGAACGACGUACUGUACCGUGUCUUUCAAAGUCUCGUACUCACGAAGUAGUACUUUUCUUUCUCACUGAAAUUUCUAUAAGGAGGAUUACAAGCGGUAAACAGUUAUGAGAGAUCGUGUCUGUAACUUUUACGGUCGAACAACUCCGAUACGGUGAAGUCUUUCGAAGCAUGCGAAGAAAAACUGUUCGGAAAUCGUUUAUUUUUAUAAGGUUGAUCGUAAAACCUUUUUACCACCUCACUUGAAGACACAGAUGCACACUAACAAACGCAACGAUGAUUACUCAAUGGUCGACGAUAACCUUUGAACUUCGUAGAAGCCAUGGAAGUUUAGAACUCUCGAAGUGUAAAGUUCUCAGAAGGGCGACUCAAGACAGCCGACAUAUUAGACGUCUAAAAUUCACAAGUCCUUACGUUCGAUCUUUCGAACGGAUCACUGAAAUCAUUAGACUAUACGAAUGUCUCUAAACUUAGCAUACCUAAAGUUACAUCAAGUCACAACUCUUCAACGGGACUUCUUGAAAUAAAACUUCACUCACAACUACGUCGGUUACUACCUGUCCUUGCUCCUAAAUCCAACUACUUCUUAUAAUUGGUUCAACCACUUAACCUAUAUAUAUUAUAACUGUUCGAUUCAUUCCUCGUACGACGUCUUCGGGUUGAUGUCUUAUUCUUCAUAGAAUUCUAAGACUUUGACAGUACCAGUACCGGAGACACCUCAAGAGGCCUUCUGUCAUAUCUGCAGGAAGCUCAAGAUGUUGGAGGGUGGACGGAGUUCAGAGACGAGGAGGCACCAAUAGGUCCACAUAACGAAGGUCCCACCAACGGCUGACUCUAAAGCGGUUCGAAUUCCAGUGGAAAUAAAUAGUCAACACCUGAACUCUCGAGUAACCGUAGGUGAUUGGGUCUCGCAUAUUUGGGUUCACUCUAUGGCCUCCACGAAUGAUUGUUGUAAUUACUAUAAUGACCAUAAAAGAGUAGGGACAGCCUGGAUGAGUAACUAUUAACGGUUUUAAAUAGUACGGAGCUUGUACAACAUGUACGUUGCUGUUAGUUCUUUUAGUGUUAAUUUCUAACGUUGUUGAAUCAAAGUCAUGGUCGACUUUCUAAACCCCUAGAUACAACGGAACUUCUUAACUUCCACGUUCCUACAGGUUUAUAUAGACACGUUUAAAACCAACGUGGAAGAGAGUUCUCCGAACACGACCCAUUCCUCUCACUAAAAUCAAUACUACUGGGAUCAACACCGUUAGAGCGUCUGUUAUAUCUGACAACGUGGGAGUGUAUGAAAAAAAACAGUUCGUUGGUAGAGUGUAGGUAGGUUGAUCUUUACACCUUAGAAGGUCGUAACUUCCUCAACUUAUAAAGUGUAACAGCUAAAGAACUUAGAUAGUAACCUGUUAGACCUGUCCAGUAGUCUUUGUGACCACCUAGAUCUCGUAAGGGUAUAGAAUGAAGUGAUUGUUAACUUGCCACAAUGUUCGACAGUUGGUAACUACUAGAGGAUAGUCUUCUUAUAGAUGGACGGUAACUCUCUCAAACAUAGUCUAGAACACCGUCUAAUUUCAGGAACGUCCCACUUUCCAAACCCUUAAAAAGAAUAGACUUCCUAAACCUCUAGAGACUAACGUCAUCUGAGUCGACCUUCUUCCCUAAAGACAAUGGUAGAAGGGAGGUUUCUGAGUGGAAUAUAUUUACGCCCUUAUAGAGACGUACCCAAGGGUCGACGGAUGUUUUGGAAUGUAGGGAACAAUGUAACUCCUAACUACGUACAGCCGUGUAUUGUAGGUAAGGUCCGUCCGAAACCUCGUGAUCAGAGUGUAGUGAACUCUUAAAUAGCUAAAGUAUAACAGGUCUGUAACAUAGUUAACCUCCUCUUUUGCGUUAAAGUCUUUAUGUCUUACAUGUCUAAUUUGUGACAGUAUUCUACCUCCUAAAUUUCGUCGGGAACCUUUCUCCGUUAGCCAAGAGUACGUAGAGCUCUCACCUCGGUCAGAAGGAAAUACGUGGUGUGACCCUUCGUAGUAUGAGAAGUCACCUCUAACGAACAACGUCGUGUACCCUUAGUCAAAGUCUUUACUGUAAAACUGUGGGGUUCAGUGAACGAGAAAGUUAACGAGGCUACUCCCGAUCCGAAAGACGUACCUCUCGUAGGUACUAUACGCAGUUGGAGGGGCGAGAACGACGGAGACGUUUAGGGAGACCUAACGCUUACUACAUCGGGGUCGGAGGACACACUAGAAGAAGGAAUUUUCGACGUAGUUGUAAUUAAAAGUCCAUUGAACUACCGCCACCUCAGGUAAAAACGACACUACAACACCAAAAAGGACACGUGUACAGAAAGAAAUGAUAGGAAAUGUAAUGACUGGUUAAGAAAGAACAAGUGACCCGUGUUUCAAGACUCGAAAAUCGUCUUAGUUACAAUGCGGUAUCGUCUAGGAGGAAUAGUGAGCUCAAAAUGAGAUAGGUAAUAAGACAGGCGUCAGGUACAUUAUAGGUCAGAGGGGUAAAGCAGUAUGUUAUAAAACGCGAAAGAUAAGGUACACUUUAUUUACUCCGUUUUGUAGAUACGAUAACAUGGAAGAUACCGCAUACACACGGUAAUUAAACUAAAAAGAGUCAGUCGACAAUUCUUGUUAGAAAUAGUCCUAUAAGAGAAGGACACUCCUCAACUAUCAUCUACAAUAGGGCAAUUACGACAUCGUCAAAUUACAGACUUCUUUAAGAACUACGG
rnacentral:rRNA from 1 species